rnacentral:rRNA from 1 species
AUUGAACGCUGGCGGCAGGCCUAACACAUGCAAGUCGAACGAGUGGCGGACGGGUGAGUAAUGUCUGGGAAACUGCCUGAUGGAUGGGGAUAACUACUGGAAACGGUAGCUAAUACCGCAUAACACCAGAUGUGCCCAACUGGGAUUAGCUUAUUGGGGGGGUAACGGCUCACAACGGCGACGAUCCCUAGCUGGUCUGAGAGGAUGACCAGCCACACGUGAACUGUGACACGGGCCAGACUCCUACGGGAGGCAUCAGUGGGGAAUAUUGCACAAUGGGCGCAAGCCUGAUGCAGCCAUGCCGCGUGUAUGAAGAAGGCCUUCGGGUUGUAAAGUACGUUCAGCGGGGAGGCGUUACCCGCAGAAGAAGCACCGGCUAACUCCGUGCCAGCAGCCGCGGUAAUAC